GGGGAGGUAUAUUGCUUCCAACCGCUGCUUGGGCUUAACCUCAAGGUGGUGUGGUUGUUGCUGGUGGAGAAGGCAGAACCAUUGCCAAGACCAAAGUGGGCAUUGGUGUGCACUAUGCAGAUUGUGCAAGCUGAGGGGAGAACUACCAGUGGCUUGAUAUUGACUGAGGACAACAAGGAAAAGCCUUCUAUUGGGAUGGUGAUCACCUUUGGGCCAAGUUCAUUGGAUGAGGAGGGACUGCAAAAGCCAUUGUCGAUCACCCUGGGUGAAACUGUUUUAUACUCCCAAGUAUUCAAGAAGUGAAUUUAAGGGUGCAGAUGGUGCCUGAUUAUUUCACCUAAAGGACAUCAAUGUGAUGGCUGUCCUCUCAAAUCAAUGAUCUUUCAAAUUUGUCAUGGUGCCCGAAAGAGUUUUCAAGCUGAGUUGUCAAUUGUAUAAUCCAGGACUACAAAGUUAUUAG